GAUGAACGCUGGCGGCGUGCCUAAUACAUGCAAGUAGAACGCUGAAGCUUGGUGCUUGCACCGAGCGGAUGAGUUGCGAACGGGUGAGUAACGCGUAGGUAACCUGCCUCUUAGCGGGGGAUAACUAUUGGAAACGAUAGCUAAUACCGCAUAAAAGUCGAUAUCGCAUGAUAUUGAUUUGAAAGGUGCAAAUGCAUCACUAAGAGAUGGACCUGCGUUGUAUUAGCUAGUUGGUGAGGUAACGGCUCACCAAGGCGACGAUACAUAGCCGACCUGAGAGGGUGAUCGGCCACACUGGGACUGAGACACGGCCCAGACUCCUACGGGAGGCAGCAGUAGGGAAUCUUCGGCAAUGGGGGCAAACCUGACCGAGCAACGCCGCGGGAGUGAAGAAGGUUUUCGGAUCGUAAAGCUCUGUUGUAAGAGAAGAACGAGUGUGAGAGUGGAAAGUUCACACUGUGACGGUAACUUACCAGAAAGGGACGGCUAACUACGUG
rnacentral:rRNA from 1 species